rnacentral:rRNA from 1 species
UCGGGUUGUAAAGCACUUUUGUCCGGAAAGAAAACAUCCUGGCUAAUACCUGGGGUGGAUGACGGUACCGGAAGAAUAAGCACCGGCUAACUACGUGCCAGCAGCGCGGUAAUCGUAGGAUGCGAGCGUUAAUCGGAAUUACUGGGCGUAAAGCGUGCGCAGGCGGUUCGCUAAGACCGAUGUGAAAUCCCCGGGCUUAACCUGGGAACUGCAUUGGUGACUGGCGGGCUAGAGUAUGGCAGAGGGGGGUAGAAUUCCACGUGUAGCAGUGAAAUGCGUAGAGAUGUGGAGGAAUACCGAUGGCGAAGGCAGCCCCCUGGGCCAAUACUGACGCUCAUGCACGAAAGCGUGGGGAGCAAACAGGAUUAGAUACCCUGGUAGUCCACGCCCUAAACGAUGUCAACUAGUUGUUGGGGAUUCAUUUCCUUAGUAACGUAGCUAACGCGUGAAGUUGACCGCCUGGGGAGUACGGUCGCAAGAUUAAAACUCAAAGGAAUUGACGGGGACCCGCACAAGCGGUGGAUGAUGUGGAUUAAUUCGAUGCAACGCGAAAAACCUUACCUACCCUUGACAUGGACGGAAUCCUGGUG